UCUCUUGUGGACAUUUGUCUCAUUGGCAAUCAUACCACAUCUUCUUUUUUAUAUUACGUUUUAUAAAGUAAAACACAAUUUUGCGUGAAAGAAAAACAGUGGAAUAAAUUCAAACUAAAAGAUUUCAAAACAUAGACAAUUAUAAAAAAGAAGAUGUGGUAUAAUUGCCAAUGAGACAAAUGUCCACAAGAGA
rnacentral:sRNA from 1 species